CCUACGGGAGGCAGCAGUGAGGAAUAUUGGACAAUGGGCGCAAGCCUGAUCCAGCCAUGCCGCGUGCAGGAAGACGCAUCUAUGGUGUGUAAACUGCUUUUGUACGGGAAGAAACACUCCCUCGUGAGGGAGCUUGACGGUACCGUAAGAAUAAGGAUCGGCUAACUCCGUGCCAGCAGCCGCGGUAAUACGGAGGAUCCAAGCGUUAUCCGGAAUCAUUGGGUUUAAAGGGUCCGUAGGCGGUUUAAUAAGUCAGUGGUGAAAGCCCAUCGCUCAACGAUGGAACGGCCAUUGAUACUGUUAGACUUGAAUUACUAGGAAGUAACUAGAAUAUGUAGUGUAGCGGUGAAAUGCUUAGAUAUUACAUGGAAUACCAAUUGCGAAGGCAGGUUACUACUAGUGGAUUGACGCUGAUGGACGAAAGCGUGGGGAGCGAACAGGAUUAGAUACCCUGGUAGUCCACGCCGUAAACGAUGGAUACUAGCUGUUGGGCGCAAGUUCAGUGGNGUAGACGAAGUAGAGUAAGUAAGUACCACCGUACGGGAGGUACGGUUCGUCGUAAGAAGUUAGAAACGUAACUUAAAGUUAAGUAAGUUAGUUACGGCGUGGAGGACGUUAGCCGACGGACGACGACGAGGGGAAGGGUUAGGAGG
rnacentral:rRNA from 1 species